rnacentral:lncRNA from 1 species
GCAUCAUGUAUGCGAAGCAUUGCUCUAUAUUGAACCAAAUAAGCUUUAUUUACAUCUAGAAGCUAAGUCUCUCAACUGUUUUACAGAUCAACCGUCUUAUCAGGCAAACCUUUGACAUUUCAUAAUUUCUUCAUCCCUUUGGUUGUUCUUACAUAUCAGUCUCUUACAAACCCUAACUUUAACCAGUCUUGACACAGAAGUACAUGAGGCAUAGCCUCAAGACCCUGAAGCGCUUUCCUAGUCGUCUUUUCCAGUAACCCAACUUAUCAAAAACCUAUGUUAGAGGCCGAUCGUACGGCGUCGUUUGAGAGCUACGGCGAGUUGAUCGCUUCCGGAGCUUUCCGCCGGCUCCGCCGCUCUGGUAGGUGGUGA